UCGAGGAUCUUCGGCAAUGGGCGCAAGCCUGACCGAGCGACGCCGCGUGUGCGAAGAAGGCCUUCGGGUUGUAAAGCACUGUCGAGGGGGAGGAAAGCCGCAAGGUCUGACCUAUCCCUGGAGGAAGCACGGGCUAAGUUCGUGCCAGCAGCCGCGGUAAGACGAACCGUGCGAACGUUGUUCGGAUUCACUGGGCUUAAAGGGCGCGUAGGCGGGCAAGCAAGUCCGGGGUGAAAUCUUUCGGCUCAACCGGAAAAGUGCCUUGGAUACUGCUUGUCUAGAGGGAGAUAGGGGUUGCGGGAACUUCCGGUGGAGCGGUGAAAUGCGUUGAUAUCGGAAGGAACGCCGGUGGCGAAAGCGCGCAACUGGACCUCUUCUGACGCUGAGGCGCGAAAGCUAGGGGAGCAAACGG
rnacentral:rRNA from 1 species